GAUGAACGCCGGCGGCGUGCUUAACACAUGCAAGUCGAACGAAGCUGCUAAAAGGAAGUCUUCGGAUGGAAUUUUGGUAGACUUAGUGGCGGACGGGUGAGUAACGCGUGGAUAACCUGCCUUAUACAGGGGGAUAACGGAGAGAAAUAUCCGCUAAGACCGCAUAAGACCACAGCACCGCAUGGUGCAGGGGUAAAAUAUUUAUAGGUAUAAGAUGGAUCCGCGUCCGAUUAGCUAGUUGGUGAGGUAAAGGCCCACCAAGGCGACGAUCGGUAGCCGGCCUGAGAGGGUGAACGGCCACAUUGGGACUGAGACACGGCCCAAACUCCUACGGGAGGCAGCAGUGGGGAAUAUUGGACAAUGGGGGAAACCCUGAUCCAGCGACGCCGCGUGAGUGAAGAAGUAUUUCGGUAUGUAAAGCUCUAUCAGCAGGGAAGAAAAUGACGGUACCUGACUAAGAAGCCCCGGCUAACUACGUGCCAGCAGCCGCGGUAAUACGUAGGGGGCAAGCGUUAUCCGGAUUUACUGGGUGUAAAGGGAGCGCAGACGGCAAUGCAAGUCUGAAGUGAAAGGCGUGGGCUCAACCCAUGAACUGCUUUGGAAACUGUAUAGCUUGAGUGUCGGAGGGGUAAGCGGAAUUCCUAGUGUAGCGGUGAAAUGCGUAGAUAUUAGGAGGAACACCGGAGGCGAAGGCGGCUUACUGGACGACAACUGACGUUGAGGCUCGAAGGCGUGGGGAGCAAACAGG
rnacentral:rRNA from 1 species